rnacentral:rRNA from 1 species
AUUGAACGCUGGCGGCAUGCUUUACACAUGCAGGUCGAACGGUAACAGGCCGCAAGGUGCUGACGAGUGGCGAACGGGUGCGUAAUGCAUCGGAACGUGCCCAGUCGUGGGGGAUAACUACUCGAAAGAGUAGCUAAUACCGCAUACGAUCUAUGGAUGAAAGCGGGGGACCGUAAGGCCUCGCGCGAUUGGAGCGGCCGAUGUCAGAUUAGGUAGUUGGUGGGGUAAAGGCUCACCAAGCCAACGAUCUGUAGCUGGUCUGAGAGGACGACCAGCCACACUGGGACUGAGACACGGCCCAGACUCCUACGGGAGGCAGCAGUGGGGAAUUUUGGACAAUGGGCGCAAGCCUGAUCCAGCAAUGCCGCGUGCAGGAAGAAGGCCUUCGGGUUGUAAACUGCUUUUGUACGGAACGAAACGGCUCUGGUUAAUACCCGGGGCUAAUGACGGUACCGUAAGAAUAAGCACCGGCUAACUACGUG